rnacentral:lncRNA from 1 species
CGCGAUCAGAUUCGCUACCGCAGAGCUCUAGCUCCGGAGCGCGCCAAGUUGAAGGCCAAAGUCGAGGUUGGGAUGCCCGAUGCCUGGCGCGGGGAGACGGAGGAAGCAAAGUGCUGCUGCCUGGUGGAAAUACAGUAUUAUAUAAUGACAUGCUACUAUGCAUCUCUACCUAACUCCUCGUCUGGUGAUGCCAUAUUGAAAUCAGCCAUACUGAGAGUAUUUACACACUGCUGAAGUCAGUAAAUGCUACAAAUCAAGGCUUGAAUGUAACCUACAUGAGAAAGAGUUGCCUUGCUCACUGCCGUAUCCCAGUAUCCCAAGAACCUUGGAGAUGCUCUAUGAAUACUGAAUGAAUCUGAGAGGAAACUAGCCCGAAGGGGGAAGGCUCUGGAAGCAAGCCCUCAUGGACCAACGGAGAAAAAGGAAACUGAAUCUUGGGGAGAUUAAGCAACUCUUUCAAGGUCAACCGGGGAGCGGCAGAACCAGAGUUCGAAGGAAACCUUUCUGAAUCUGACGUCUGCCCCUUCUAAAUUAGGACUCUCAUCUAUCAGCCUGUGAGAAAAAAUACAGAAAGCAUCAUUCAGGCAACACAUGAACUCAAGACACUGAGACUUCGCUAACCUUCCUCGCACACAAGGUCCUAAAGGAACUACCACACGCAUGUCCACAUUUGAUGCACAUAACAGACUCUCACCGCAUUGAAAUAAACCCCAGUAUGAUCAUAAUAGCUUUUUUCUUUCAAUUUUUAUUGAACACAAGUAUUCCGACAGAAUGCAAAGUCAAAAUUCUCAGUUAGUACUCAGUAUUUACACCAGUGAGAAUGGAAACAAAGGUGGUAUCGAUGUUUCACUUGGUAAAAAGUUUUAUAACAAGAGAGAAGGCCCCCGAAGUACAGAAUGCUGGGUAGGGAUGUUAAUGGAGGUCUGAAAACCGCCAUCCAGACAGACAGCCUCAAGUGAAAACCUGGGACUCGGAAGGCUCCAUAGAAAAGUGUGAAAAUAGAGUUCCACCUCCAAAGCUGCACUAUAUACACCACAGCCCUGCAGGGUCCAGUGGCCCUGCUCGUCACACUUGAGUGCUCCUCCAGCAGAACUUGGCCAUGCCGGUCUUCAUGUGAAUACAUAUGUAUGGCACAUACACACAUAGACACAUAGACAUUGGAAACUGGAGUUGAUCCCUCCUUCAAAAAUUAAAAAAGAAAAUUAUAAGCUUUGAUCUCUUAACAUAAAAGAUAAAACAUCUUGGAAUAAAAUGACUCCCU